GACGAACGCUGGCGGCGUGCUUGACACAUGCAAGUCGAACGGAAAGGCCUGCUUUCCCUUGUGGAUUGCGGGUACUCGAGUGGCGAACGGGUGAGUAACACGUGAGUGAUCUGCCCCCAACUUGGGUAUAAGCCUGGGAAACUGGGUCUAAUUCCCGAUAGGACUGCAGGGUGGUGCCUGUGGUGGAAAACGAUUUUCUAGUGGUUGGGGAUGAGCUCGCGGCCUAUCAGCUUGUUGGUGGGGUAAUGGCCUACCAAGGCGGCGACGGGUAGCCGGCCUGAGAGGGUGGACGGCCACAUUGGGACUGAGAUACGGCCCAGACGCCUACGGGAGGCAGCAGUGGGGAAUAUUGCACAAUGGGCGGAAGCCUGAUGCAGCGACGCAGCGUGGGGGAUGACGGCCUUCGGGUUGUAAACUCCUUUCGACCGAGAGGAAGCCACCUGGUUGGAAGGGUGGUGACGGUAGUGGUAGAAGAAGCACCGGCUAACUACGUG
rnacentral:rRNA from 1 species